rnacentral:rRNA from 1 species
UACGAAGGGGGCUAGCGUUGCUCGGAAUCACUGGGCGUAAAGCGCACGUAGGCGGACCCUUAAGUCAGGGGUGAAAUCCUGGAGCUCAACUCCAGAACUGCCUUUGAUACUGGGAGUCUUGAGUUCGGGAGAGGUGAGUGGAACUGCGAGUGUAGAGGUGAAAUUCGUAGAUAUUCGCAAGAACACCAGUGGCGAAGGCGGCUCACUGGCCCGAUACUGACGCUGAGGUGCGAAAGCGUGGGGAGCAAACAGG